UUGACAUCCAGAGAAUUUAGCAGAGAUGCUUUAGUGCCUUCGGGAACUCUGAGACAGGUGCUGCAUGGCUGUCGUCAGCUCCGUGUUGUGAAAUGUUGGGUUAAGUCCGCAACGAGCGCAACCCUUAUCCUUUGUUGCCAGCACGUAAUGGUGGGAACUCAAAGGAGACUGCCGGUGAUAAACCGGAGGAAGGUGGGGAUGACGUCAAGUCAUCAUGGCCCUUACGAGUAGGGCUACACACGUGCUACAAUGGCGUAUACAAAGAGAAGCGACCUCGCGAGAGCAAGCGGACCUCAUAAAGUGCGUCGUAGUCCGGAUUGGAGUCUGCAACUCGACUCCAUGAAGUCGGAAUCGCUAGUAAUCGUAAAUCAGAAUGUUACGGUGAAUACGUUCCCGGGCCUUGUACACACCGCCCGUCACACCAUGGGAGUGGGUUGCAAAAGAAGUAGAUAGCUUAACCUUCGGGAGGGCGUUUACCACUUUGUGAUUCAUGACUGGGGUGAAGUCGUAACAAGGUAAGCGUAGUGCU
rnacentral:rRNA from 1 species